GGUCAAGCGAACAAGUGCAUGUGGUGGAUGCCUUGGCGAUCACAGGCGAUGAAGGACGCGGUAGCCUGCGAAAAGCCCCGGGGAGCUGGCAAACAAGCUUUGAUCCGGGGAUGUCCGAAUGGGGAAACCCACUCCGUAUGGAGUAUCCAUGACUGAAUACAUAGGUCAUGUGAAGCGAACGCGGUGAACUGAAACAUCUAAGUAACCGCAGGAAAAGAAAUCAACCGAGAUUCCCAAAGUAGUGGCGAGCGAAAUGGGAUGAGCCUUGUACUCUUUAUUUGUAUUGUUAGCCGAACGCUCUGGAAAGUGCGGCCAUAGCAGGUGAUAGCCCUGUAGGCGAAAACAGUAUGAAAGAACUAGGUGUACGACAAGUAGGGCGGGACACGUGAAAUCCUGUCUGAAGAUGGGGGGACCAUCCUCCAAGGCUAAAUACUCGUGAUCGACCGAUAGUGAACCAGUACCGUGAGGGAAAGGCGAAAAGAACCCCGGGAGGGGAGUGAAAUAGAUCCUGAAACCGCAUGCAUACAAACAGUCGGAGCCUCGUAAGGGGUGACGGCGUACCUUUUGUAUAAUGGGUCAGCGACUUACGUUCAGUAGCAAGCUUAACCGUAUAGGGCAGGCGUAGCGAAAGCGAGUCCGAAUAGGGCGUUCAGUUGCUGGGCGUAGACCCGAAACCAGGUGAUCUAUCCAUGGCCAGGAUGAAGGUGCGGUAACACGUACUGGAGGUCCGAACCCACUAACGUUGAAAAGUUAGGGGAUGAGCUGUGGAUAGGGGUGAAAGGCUAAACAAACCUGGAAAUAGCUGGUUCUCUCCGAAAACUAUUUAGGUAGUGCCUCGUGUCUCACCUUCGGGGGUAGAGCACUGUCAUGGUUGGGGGGUCUAUUGCAGAUUACCCCGCCAUAGCAAACUCCGAAUACCGAAGAGUGCAAUCACGGGAGACAGACAUCGGGUGCUAACGUCCGGUGUCAAGAGGGAAACAACCCAGACCGCCAGCUAAGGUCCCCAAAUAUGGCUAAGUGGGAAACGAAGUGGGAAGGCUAAAACAGUCAGGAGGUUGGCUUAGAAGCAGCCACCCUUUAAAGAAAGCGUAAUAGCUCACUGAUCGAGUCGUCCUGCGCGGAAGAUGUAACGGGGCUAAGCCAUAUACCGAAGCUGCGGAUGCGUGCUUGCACGCAUGGUAGGAGAGCGUUCCGUAAGCCUGCGAAGGUGCCUUGUAAAGGGUGCUGGAGGUAUCGGAAGUGCGAAUGCUGACAUGAGUAGCGAUAAAGGGGGUGAAAGGCCCCCUCGCCGUAAGCCCAAGGUUUCCUACGCAACGUUCAUCGGCGUAGGGUGAGUCGGCCCCUAAGGCGAGGCAGAAAUGCGUAGCUGAUGGGAAGCAGGUCAAUAUUCCUGCACCGUCGUUAGAUGCGAUGGGGGGACGGAUCGCGGAAAGUUGUCCGGGUGUUGGACGUCCCGGUCGCUGCAUUGGAGAAGGCGCUUAGGCAAAUCCGGGCGCAGGAUUCAAGGGUGUGGCGCGAGCGACUUCGGUCGCGAAGCAAUUGGAAGUGGUUCCAAGAAAAGCCUCUAAGCUUCAGUCUAACGAUGACCGUACCGCAAACCGACACAGGUGGGCGAGAUGAGUAUUCUAAGGCGCUUGAGAGAACUCGGGAGAAGGAACUCGGCAAAUUGGUACCGUAACUUCGGGAUAAGGUACGCCCUUGUAGCUUGACCAGCCUGCGCUGGAAGGGUGAAGGGGUUGCAAUAAACUGGUGGCUGCGACUGUUUAAUAAAAACACAGCACUCUGCAAACACGAAAGUGGACGUAUAGGGUGUGACGCCUGCCCGGUGCCGGAAGAUUAAAUGAUGGGGUGCAAGCUCUUGAUUGAAGUCCCGGUAAACGGCGGCCGUAACUAUAACGGUCCUAAGGUAGCGAAAUUCCUUGUCGGGUAAGUUCCGACCUGCACGAAUGGCGUAACGAUGGCCACACUGUCUCCUCCCGAGACUCAGCGAAGUUGAAGUGUUUGUGAUGAUGCAAUCUACCCGCGGCUAGACGGAAAGACCCCAUGAACCUUUACUGUAGCUUUGCAUUGGACUUUGAACCGAUCUGUGUAGGAUAGGUGGGAGGCUAUGAAACCGGAACGCUAGUUUCGGUGGAGCCGUCCUUGAAAUACCACCCUGGUUUGUUUGAGGUUCUAACCUUGGUCCGUGAUCCGGAUCGGGGACAGUGCAUGGUAGGCAGUUUGACUGGGGCGGUCUCCUCCCAAAGGGUAACGGAGGAGUACGAAGGUACGCUAGGUACGGUCGGAAAUCGUGCUGAUAGUGCAAUGGCAUAAGCGUGCUUAACUGCGAGACCGACAAGUCGAGCAGGUGCGAAAGCAGGUCAUAGUGAUCCGGUGGUUCUGUAUGGAAGGGCCAUCGCUCAACGGAUAAAAGGUACUCUGGGGAUAACAGGCUGAUACCGCCCAAGAGUUCAUAUCGACGGCGGUGUUUGGCACCUCGAUGUCGGCUCAUCUCAUCCUGGGGCUGUAGCCGGUCCCAAGGGUAUGGCUGUUCGCCAUUUAAAGAGGUACGUGAGCUGGGUUUAAAACGUCGUGAGACAGUUUGGUCCCUAUCUGCCGUGGGCGUUGGAUAUUUGAAGGGGGCUGCUCCUAGUACGAGAGGACCGGAGUGGACGAACCUCUGGUGUACCGGUUGUGACGCCAGUCGCAUCGCCGGGUAGCUAUGUUCGGAAGAGAUAACCGCUGAAAGCAUCUAAGCGGGAAACUCGCCUUAAGAUGAGAUAUCCCUGGAGGCUUGACCUCCUUGAAGGGUCGUUCGAGACCAGGACGUUGAUAGGUCGGGUGUGUAAGCGCAGUAAUGCGUUCAGCUAACCGAUACUAAUUGCCCGUAAGGCUUGAUCCU
rnacentral:rRNA from 1 species